UCCAGGGGUGUCCCCUCCCUGCCAUUCCCUUUGUCUCUCUCUCUGCUCCCCACCCCUGCACCCCAGGUUCCCGUGAAGCAGGUCAAAGACCCCGAGCUGGGUGAGAUUCCCUAGCGUUCAAGUCUGGGCCCUAUCUUGUGACAUCCAGAUCUGUCACCCCUGCUCCCAACUCCAUUCCCUACAGGACACUCCACCUGGACGUCUUAGGGGAGCCUUGAAUUCAGCCUGCUUGUGCAGACUCACUGCUCCCCAUCAGGGGCGGCUGCCCCUCGGGCUGGGUUCUCCAGCUGCAGGUGUAGCCACCCGUCUCCCAGGCUCUGAGUUCUGACCCAGGGAAUCAUCACCCCUGACCCCUCCCUCCUCUUGGUCCCCAGAUUGCCAGGUUUUAUUUGAUUAAAACAGUGAACUCUCAAGACGGAGGCUCAUUCUUCAUCGUCUGCGGUUUCUGGAGCACAGUUCUCUGUUGACAACUCUUCUAGAUGAGAAGGCACAUUUCCAGGGAGGCGUCUGAUAACAUGCAGUUAUUUUGAUUCCUGAACGCAAGGUGGACUGGGGCGAGGGGGCACCUCAGAGCAUCUUUGGAGCGCCCCUCUUUGGAUUCGCCAAAGCCAGCGAUGAAGGGUGAAGCGUGCCAAUCUUUUUAAAGCUCCGGGGGCUUUUGUAUUAUCUGAGUAUUUUACUACGUGCAUUUGUAUUAUUUAGCAGUAGCGGAGGGUGCUGGGUGUUUUCCCCCCAAACACUGACAACUCCGAAGUCAUUACAUCCAGGAUUCCAUUUCCCCCAUGGCGAGAAAAGGUUGCUAUCUGUCACACACACUUAAGCGCCUGGCAUUUUUCUCAUUUUCUGAUAGGCGCUGCGUGCCCCCCCCCCUCCCCCUAUUCCCCACCCCUACCUAACAGAGAAAAGCUGCUGGCUGACAGCUCCCAGCUGCACGGAGAGAUAGCUGAGAAUUUCCAAUAGGGAAGUGUCACGCUUUGCCAGCUCGGGGGAAGACAGAAUAAUUGGCUGGAAUCACAGACCUGCGUGAUGGUGGGAGAGAAGUCAGAGCUGGCGGGGGGUCCUCCAGGGGUGGCCUGGACAUCUCCCACAAUGCCAGACUAGAGGCUUGCUGGGUCCAGAGAGCCUCAGGCCCUUCAGCGGCCCCUCUCACCCCAGGAGCCCCAUGGUGUGCCUGCUGCCCUGUGGGAGUCUCUGCAGUGCACCCCGGACCACCAAACCCUUCUCCCCAAGGUCAAGUGGUUGGGUUGGGGGGUGUUCAGGAGGAAGAGCCCAUCCCUGGCACUCAAUUCCGACGUGGAGGGAAGGGUGGGUGGGCCAGAAAAGACCCCCUGUCAUCCUCACUGAAAAGGGAGCCCGGAGACCUGGGGGAGGACGCUCACCCUAUCCUGACUCCCCAGCUCUGCGCAGGCCUCGGGGAGAAUGGAAAUGCCAGGUGGAGACAGUCUACUCUGACUCAGACUUGGCUCUCAAGGACAGAGACAAGGGCAAGCUUGGAUCUUGGAGGACCAGGGGGGAGGAUCUCAGAGAGGAGCCCCUGACAAUGAGGCAUGGUGGGGGGGGAAGGGGCCUUGCUUGUUUCAUCCCUCCUGAUCACUGCCAGCACCCACACACGGCUCUGAAAGGAGCCCCCAGCUCAGGGCCCCUGGGGCCCAUCCUUCUCCUCCAGCCCCAGGUCCAGCUGCUCUGCUUCUGGCUGCUGGUCAUAAGACGUCGGGCAAUGCUGUCCAACAGAAACAUAGUUGCCAGCACACACAUAAUUCGGAUUUUUCCAGUAGUCAACAUUUUUUUUAAUCCUCACCUGAGGAUGUUUAUUGACUUUAGAGAGAGAGGAAGAGAGAGGGAGAGAAACAGUGAGGUGAAAAACAUCAAUUAGUCACCUCCAGUACAUGCCCCAGCUGGGGAUCAAAUCCACAACCCAGGUAUGUGCCCUGACCGGGGAUCGAACCCACAACCUUUUGGAGUACGAUGCUCCAACCAGCUGAACCACUUGGCCAGGGCUAGUGGUCACAUUUUAAAAAGUGAAAAAGAAACAGGUAAAAUUCAACUUAGGCAGAUGUUUUGCUUAACCCGGCCCAUCCAGAAUAUUAUCAUUUCAACAUGUAAUCAAUACAAAAACUAAUGAGAUCUUGUACCGUCUCUUUUGUACUAAAUCUUCAAAACCC